rnacentral:tRNA from 1 species
UGCCCCAUGGCUGAGUUGGUUACAGCGUCCGACUGUUAACCCAAGGCAAUCGGAAGGUCGUGAGUUCGAGCCUCACUGGGGCAG